GACGAACGCUGGCGGCGUGCCUAAUACAUGCCAGUAGAACGCUGAAGAGAGGAGCUUGCUCUUCUUGGAUGAGUUGCGAACGGGUGAGUAACGCGUAGGUAACCUGCCUUGUAGCGGGGGAUAACUAUUGGAAACGAUAGCUAAUACCGCAUAACAAUGGAUGACACAUGUCAUUUAUUUGAAAGGGGCAAUUGCUCCACUACAAGAUGGACCUGCGGUGUAUUAGCUAGUAGGUGAGGUAAUGGCUCACCUAGGCGACGAUACAUAGCCGACCUGAGAGGGUGAUCGGCCACACUGGGACUGAGACACGGCCCAGACUCAUACGGGAGGCAGCAGUAGGGAAUCUUCGGCAAUGGGGGCAACCCUGACCGAGCAACGCCGCGUGAGUGAAGAAGGUUUUCGGAUCGUAAAGCUCUGUUGUAAGUCAAGAACGGGUGUGAGAGUGGAAAGUUCACACUGUGACGGUAGCUUACCAGAAAGGGACGGCUAACUACGUG
rnacentral:rRNA from 1 species